UACACCUAAGAAACAAGGAGGACUGGGA
rnacentral:piRNA from 1 species